GGGGACCAUCAUAAUGUUGUGGGAGGUGUCAUUUUGUGAGUUUUGAGUGAAAUCCAACGGCAAAAAUCAUGCAAUCAAGCAACCACUCCAUUUGAGAAUGAACUUUGUACGAACCUGAAUUGUCCUAUUUCAUUGACCAAUCGAUAUCGGAUUGAGUCCAAAACUUGGGGAACAUGAUAAUAUUGUGGGAGGAGUCAUUUGGCGA
rnacentral:lncRNA from 1 species